rnacentral:rRNA from 1 species
CCUACGGGAGGCAGCAGUGGGGAAUAUUGCACAAUGGGGGAAACCCUGAUGCAGCGACGCCGCGUGCGUGAAGACGUAUCUCGGUACGUAAAGCUCUAUCAGCAGGAAAGAAAAUGCCGGUACCUGACUCAGAAGCCCCGGCUAACUACGUGCCAGCAGCCGCGGUAAUACGCAGGGGGCAAGCGUUAUCCGGAUUUACUGGGUGUAAAGGGAGCGUAGACGGUGUUGCAAGUCCGAGGUGAAAGCUCAGGGCUCAACCAUGGUACUGCUUUGGAAACUGUAGAGCUUGAGUGCGGGAGGGGUAGGCGGAAUGGAUGGUGUAGCGGUGAAAUGCGUAGAGAUUAGAAGGAACACCGGUGGCGAAGGCGGCCUGCUGGACCGUAACUGACGUUGAGGCACGAAAGCGUGGGGAGCAAACAGGAUUAGAUACCCCAGUAGUC